GUCGAGCGGAUGACGGGAGCUUGCUCCUUGAUUCAGCGGCGGACGGGUGAGUAAUGCCUAGGAAUCUGCCUGGUAGUGGGGGACAACGUUUCGAAAGGAACGCUAAUACCGCAUACGUCCUACGGGAGAAAGCAGGGGACCUUCGGGCCUUGCGCUAUCAGAUGAGCCUAGGUCGGAUUAGCUAGUUGGUGGGGUAAUGGCUCACCAAGGCGACGAUCCGUAACUGGUCUGAGAGGAUGAUCAGUCACACUGGAACUGAGACACGGUCCAGACUCCUACGGGAGGCAGCAGUGGGGAAUAUUGGACAAUGGGCGAAAGCCUGAUCCAGCCAUGCCGCGUGUGUGAAGAAGGUCUUCGGAUUGUAAAGCACUUUAAGUUGGGAGGAAGGGCAGUAAGCUAAUACCUUGCUGUUUUGACGUUACCGACAGAAUAAGCACCGGCUAACUCUGUG
rnacentral:rRNA from 1 species